rnacentral:lncRNA from 8 species
ACUGCUUCUACUGGGGAGUGUCGAUAUGGCCGACCAAUGGCUACAGUGGAAUACUCGUUUCUGAUUGGCUUGAAGAGCAUUCUAGAGCGUGCAUUAUGUAAAGGAUAAUCAAUGAGGGGCUAUGCGUUCUAUGGAAAAUAAUGAACGACGUGGAAGGUGUGUUCCAGAGAACGCAUAGAGCUCCAAGUUGAUUAUCCCUUUUGUACCAUGGCUAUAAAUGUGUUCAUUUGCCAGUAGAAAUUUGUUCAACAUCCACUGAAGUAGCUAGAAAGUUUAUACUACAUAGCUACAUUAGUUGCCAUGGUUACCAAGCAACCAUACUUCCUAGUCUAGCUAACCAAAUCAUCAGUCCUAGCUUGCCAGUUCGAUUGGGCACAGCAAGAGUUCAGUACGUUUCCACCAAUAGCAAGCGCUAGCGGGAGAAGACUGGGCUAGUUUUGAAGUUAAAAUCAUUAUUGCCUUGUUGUACUUUAACAACGGUCAACUGGACAUCGAGCCCUCCUAUGAGGGCUGAGCAGAGUUGAACCAUGAUGUCCCUGGAGGGCAGAGCACCCUGCGCCAGGUGACCAUACAUGAGAACCAGCUGUGGCAGUGCAGGGUCCAGAUCCCUGGAGACGACAAGGGGAAGCUGUCCGCCAUAUACAAUUGGUGGUCCUGGUCCCUCUGUACCUGUAGGACAGUGCAGGGUGAAGCAGAGUACUGGACCAACAACACCCCCAGAGCAUUCCCACCUAGGACCACUGAAGGUUUCCGUGCAGUUCUCUCUUUUCAAUAUCUCUAUGGAGACUUCUGGUUUCUACAUCUGCAUGGCAACCAACCAGAAUCACUCUGCCAGCUCAAACUUUACUGUCAUGCCCCAUAAGUAUUCAGUAUACCUUUUUUUUUGUGAUCAAAUGUUUGUAUUAUUUUUAAUAAGGUACACAAAACAGGUACACAUGGACAGAAAAAGAAGUGACAAGACCGAGCAAGACAAACAGUUCCCUGCACCACGCCCCACCCACAGGACUUCCCCAAAUGUAGAUUAG